GUUAUUGAAAGGAUUCAUAAUGAGCUCCAAGGGAGUUUAUUGAAUGGCUUUAGGAAAGCUUAAUUCUCUAACAUCAUUUUUGAGGUGAAUAUGUAUUUAAUUAUAUUUCAAUGGUGUUAUUUAAAGGCCUCCUGUUAUUAGGGAUUGUUCAGUGAAAAGUUCCCAUUUUUUUUUUCAAAUGUGCCUCUUAAUUCAAGUCUUUUCCUGCAAUUUGCUUUCGAGAGGGAAGCUGUUUUUCUCAUGCUGAUUGCUAUUUCUAUGAAUCUCUGGCAGGUGCCCUCUUAAUGGCCGAAGGCCCCCAUGAUGGCCCACAUCCACAUCCCAUCCUGAGAAUUCUGACUAUCUGGUAGCCGUGGCACGAAUGGCAAGAGAACAGGAUGCAUGUUGGGAUGCUAGCAUGCUAGCAGCUAGCUGCAUGCAACCAUCUUUUAUA
rnacentral:lncRNA from 7 species